CUGGUGCACUGGCCCGCGGGUGAGGAAGAGGAGGGCCACUUUUGACAUGCCCAGUGACUCAGCGCACAUGUCUUGCCACUGCAGCCCCAAGUGCCGGUGGUACAGGGGGUUCCCCAGAGGGGUCCAGCGUGACAGAAAUGGCAGGCUCAGCAGCAUGUCCGCCAAUUUCCUCCUGGCCUGCAGCAUUUCGUUGUGAGUCAGCAGGUCUGUGCCAAUCCCAUGUAAGCAUUGUGCGGGCUGUGACAACUCCUUCUAAGCGAGCAGGUCCAGUGCAUUUGUGACAUUCCCUAGUGAGCGAGAGCAAUCCCAGCUCAGAAGAUUGUGAGCACAGCAAUCGGUGAAGCAUGUGAUCUGACAUCUGGAGGUACAGGCAAGUCAGCGUGUGGCAGAGAACUUGGUGGCUUGAUGCAUACAGUCCGCUUGGGCCACAAGUGCAGGGAAUUUCUGAUUGAAGAAAGCCGCACACCUGAUUGAAGCUAGUAGUGUGGCCAGCACUGUUGUGAACGAUGUUGCCAUUCAUGUUUCUUCUUGCCUUUAUUGAUGCAGGACUGACACAGCGCGUGGUGCCCAGCAUCAAGACUAUAGCAAACCCAAGGAAAGUUCCCAAAAAACAUCGUGAGCUCAUGCUGCCCGCCAUUUGUCAUGCUGGAUACACCUGCGAGAUCCAUUUGCGAUAAGAAAACCGUGUGCAAUGCACGUCAAAAGCAGGCAAGAUCCAACCCGAGAAGGUCCUGUUCUCAAGACGAUCAGAAUCAGAGUUGCGUGUAUCAGACCUGGGAAGCUCCAAACAAAGUCAUGGGUGCUUCGACCUUGACGUCCUCGAACGAAGUGGUUGUCUGCCUGUCGGUGAGCACAAGAUGUGCUAAGUUUCUGCCAUUUCAAUUUACCCACGAACGUAGGGUUUGAUUCAGCUAUAUGUGAUAAUUUACAUGUGACAUCAUGGAAGUUCGGUGAAAAAUCUUGUUGACCAAGAUGGUGGUGCGUUUUGAAACAUCAAGGAUCGCACCUAUCUCCAAGAUGGCUGGACCAAACCUGAGGUUGAUUCCACCCUGGAUCCCGCCAACUUGCGGCUAUCCAACAAACCAACAAGACUAGCCUUGACUAUGAAAUUACAGGGUUCGAUCCAG
rnacentral:lncRNA from 1 species